AUGGGAGGAAUAUAGAAAAUCUGUGUAUGCCUGUUCACAAUUAGUGUUGUGCUGCCAUGGAUGGUAGCACAAGUCUUGAUGUGUCAUGGAGGACACAUUCAAGACGUACACGUAAUAUUGAAAAAUAUAUAAUCAGGCAUACCUAGAUUUUCAUAU
rnacentral:ncRNA from 1 species